GGCUCCUGUCGCGGUUCCCUGUACUCCCCCGUCGCGGUUCCUGUGGCACCGUCCACCCUGUCACGGCGCCCGACCUCUACCCCACCGUCGCGGCUCCCGUGGCGCUCGUGCAUCUGGUUGCUGUGGCUUUGAGCAGCGGGAAGGGGAUCCAAUCGUCGACGGCGGUUCAAACACAGUAACCCAGUCAAUUUUACAGUUCACGAGGAGAACCAGGAUGGGGAUUGGGCAUGCAAGAUGAGCACCACUGAACCUGGAGAACAAGCACAGCCCACAAACCUUACGCCACAGCCACCAGCUACCACAACAAUUGACCCUCAAGGAUACCCCGCCUCCUCUCUCUAAGACCACACCAAAUUUGUUUCUUUUGCAGAUCCAGACUACUAAAAGAUCGACAUCUGACGUGUAUUUCAGGGUACAUAAGAGGCCGUCAAUGAUGCAAGCAGGCGAUGAUGGUGCACUAAUCUCCAAUUGCUUAUGGGAGUCAAUUGACACUAAUUUGGAAAUCGCAAGACAAAUAACCUUGCAUACCUUCUAUUCAAGAAGCUUCAAGCUAGAAGGAUGCAAAUAAGCUUGCAUACCUUCUGUUCCAGAAGCUUCAAGCUAGAAAGAUGCAGGGAUAGAUGCAUGCAUGAAUAUUUAUUUGCUUUAUUUUGUUCCUGGAAUGAGUGCAGUUAAAUUUUAUUCAUAUAUGUAUGUGGAGAUAUCUAGGAGUAAUUAUUUGUUGAUUGUAUAAAUAUUACUUGUCAGUACAUUUGAAAUUACUUUUUGUUUCACAUAGAAAAUUACUCCUUUGCUUA